rnacentral:snRNA from 1 species
GAAUUUGAGGGUGACCUGACUAUGACAAGCUACCCCACUGAUCACCAGUGUUUUUUCAACUGAUCUUACUGGCUGGCUCUGUGUCCCCUUUCUCCUCCACAGCUACGUGUCUGUCCUUCCUGGAGCAGCAUGUUCGGUCAAAAAGGACUUUUUUAAAUUUUUUUUAAAUAAUAAAGAAGUUUUCAUGUUGAUUUUAGUUUAAG